rnacentral:rRNA from 1 species
ACUUAAAGGAAUUGGCGGGGGAGCACUACAACGGGUGGAGCCUGCGGUUUAAUUGGAUUCAACGCCGGGAAGCUUACCGGGAUCGACAGCGAUAUGAAAGCCAGGCUGAAGACCUUGCCGGAUUAGCUGAGAGGUGGUGCAUGGCCGUCGUCAGUUCGUACUGUGAAGCAUCCUGUUAAGUCAGGCAACGAGCGAGACCCACGCCCACAGUUGCCAGCGUACUCUCUGGAGUGACAGGUACACUGUGGGGACCGCCGCUGCUAAAGCGGAGGAAGGAAUGGGCAACGGUAGGUCAGUAUGCCCCGAAUGUCCCGGGCUACACGCGGGCUACAAUGGUUGGUACAAUGGGUAUCUACCCCGAAAGGGGAUGGAAAUCUCCUAAAGCCAAUCUUAGUUCGG